GACUGAGGUAUGUCCAGUGUGGAGUCGUUUCGGUUUCUUUGUGACAUUUGUUCCCAUGUCCCAUUUAUUGUCUUUUCCAUUUCUUGUUGUGAUCUUUGUUCGAUAUAUAAGUCCCCCGUACUUGCUUGUGUUCCGGCCACCACCGCCUCGAAAUCGUGAGCGACUCCGACUAUCAAACAACUGAGUGAUACACAUAAGAUACAACCCCACAUAUUCAUUGACAUUUUUCAGAUACUCUUCUUGUUGGUUUGAAAUAGUCUUCGUAAAGUCUGUGCUGGAAUUGAAUCAUUGCGGAAGAAAGAAAUCAAGCUUGAUUACCGAAUUCAUUCUGAUUCGUUCUUUUUCAUGUUAUGAGUGAUGCUGGUGGACGACCGACUGGGACUUCAUUUCAGGGAAAAGUUUAAUCGAUGUUUUUGUUGAAUUAAGUUGGGAGCCAGGCGAAUGAUAAUAUGCCACUUGCCGCCGCUGCAAUGCCACCCAUUACAAAGGCUGGACCUAUUCACGAAGAACACGAUUGAAAUGGUAGAGUACAUGGCAAUCUCUACUAUCUUCAAGCACCUUCUAUACUCCCUGUUACUGUCACUCCCACCAUUGACAUUUAGCAUUGGCGGCUUGGACACCCUUCUCGUCAUAGAGUAUUAUAAAUAGCUAAGAUUUUUUCAUCUGUUUCUUAUUCAAAUAACUAUGAGCGGGACAUUUACCCACGAGCAAAGCAACUGAGACUAAGUUUUCCCAACAGUUCCAUUUCAUCUA